rnacentral:rRNA from 1 species
AUUGAACGCUGGCGGCAGGCCUAACACAUGCAAGUCGAGCGGCAGCGGGAAAGUAGCUUGCUACUUUUGCCGGCGAGCGGCGGACGGGUGAGUAAUGCCUGGGAAGUUGCCCAGUCGAGGGGGAUAACAGUUGGAAACGACUGCUAAUACCGCAUACGCCCUACGGGGGAAAGCAGGGGACCUUCGGGCCUUGCGCGAUUGGAUAUGCCCAGGUGGGAUUAGCUAGUUGGUGAGGUAAUGGCUCACCAAGGCGACGAUCCCUAGCUGGUCUGAGAGGAUGAUCAGCCACACUGGAACUGAGACACGGUCCAGACUCCUACGGGAGGCAGCAGUGGGGAAUAUUGCACAAUGGGGGAAACCCUGAUGCAGCCAUGUCGCGUGUGUGAAGAAGGCCUUCGGGUUGUAAAGCACUUUCAGCGAGGAGGAAAGGUCAGUAGCUAAUAUCUGCUGGCUGUGACGUUACUCGCAGAAGAAGCACCGGCUAACUCCGUGCCAGCAGCCGCGGUAACAC